GGUCACUGCUAUCGGUGUUCGUCUAAGCCAUGCGAGUCAUAUGUUCUUUGGAACAUGGCGUACUGCUCAGUAACACGUGGAUAACCUGCCCUUGGGUCCGGCAUAACCCCGGGAAACUGGGGAUAAUACCGGAUAACGCAUAUAUGCUGGAAUUCUUUAUGCGUGAAACGGAUUCGUCUGCCCAAGGAUGGGUCUGCGGCCUAUCAGGUAGUAGUGGGUGUAAUGUACCUACUAGCCGACGACGGGUACGGGUUGUGAGAGCAAGAGCCCGGAGAUGGAUUCUGAGACAUGAAUCCAGGCCCUACGGGGCGCAGCAGGCGCGAAAACUUUACAAUGCGGGAAACCGUGAUAAGGGGACACCGAGUGCCAGCAUCAUAUGCUGGCUGUCCGGGUGUGUAAAAUACACCUGUUAGCAAGGGCCGGGCAAGACCGGUGCCAGCCGCCGCGGUAACACCGGCGGCCCGAGUGGUGAUCGUGAUUAUUGGGUCUAAAGGGUCCGUAGCCGGUUUGGUCAGUCCUCCGGGAAAUCUGACGGCUUAACCGUUAGGCUUUCGGGGGAUACUGCCAGACUUGGAACCGGGAGAGGUAAGAGGUACUACAGGGGUAGGAGUGAAAUCUUGUAAUCCCUGUGGGACCACCUGUGGCGAAGGCGUCUUACCAGAACGGGUUCGACGGUGAGGGACGAAAGCUGGGGGCACGAACCGGAUUAGAUACCCGGGUAGUCCCAGCCGUAAACGAUGCUCGCUAGGUGUCAGGCAUGGCGCGACCGUGUCUGGUGCCGCAGGGAAGCCGUGAAGCGAGCCACCUGGGAAGUACGGCCGCAAGGCUGAAACUUAA
rnacentral:rRNA from 1 species